AUUGGCAGGCGGACUCUCAACCACUGCGCCACCAGGGAAGCCCUCUAAUCUGGAUGGGGAAUCCAUCUGGUAAAGAUGAUGGGGCCACAAGAUGGAGGGAUUCUGGGUACCUACAUCAUCACUGGGAGAUGCCCAGGAGAAUCACCCAGGACAGUCAGCUCACAGGAAUCAUCCUGACCAGGCCCACCUGUGAAUGACUGCAAGCAG